rnacentral:rRNA from 1 species
GAUGAACGCUGGCGGCGUGCUUAACACAUGCAAGUCGAACGGUGAACCCGGAGCUUGCUCUGUGGGAUCAGUGGCGAACGGGUGAGUAACACGUGAGCAACCUGCCCCUGACUCUGGGAUAAGCGCUGGAAACGGCGUCUAAUACUGGAUAUGUGACGUGACCGCAUGGUCUGCGUUUGGAAAGAUUUUUCGGUUGGGGAUGGGCUCGCGGCCUAUCAGCUUGUUGGUGAGGUAAUGGCUCACCAAGGCGUCGACGGGUAGCCGGCCUGAGAGGGUGACCGGCCACACUGGGACUGAGACACGGCCCAGACUCCUACGGGAGGCAGCAGUGGGGAAUAUUGCACAAUGGGCGCAAGCCUGAUGCAGCAACGCCGCGUGAGGGAUGACGGCCUUCGGGUUGUAAACCUCUUUUAGCAGGGAAGAAGCGAAAGUGACGGUACCUGCAGAAAAAGCGCCGGCUAACUACGUG